GACGAACGCUGGCGGCGUGCCUAAUACAUGCAAGUAGAACGCUGAAGGAGGAGCUUGCUUCUCUGGAUGAGUUGCGAACGGGUGAGUAACGCGUAGGUAACCUGCCUGGUAGCGGGGGAUAACUAUUGGAAACGAUAGCUAAUACCGCAUAAUAGUAGAUGUUGCAUGAUAUUUGCUUAAAAGGUGCAAUUGCAUCACUACCAGAUGGACCUGCGUUGUAUUAGCUAGUUGGUGGGGUAACGGCUCACCAAGGCGACGAUACAUAGCCGACCUGAGAGGGGGAUCGGCCACACUGGGACUGAGACACGGCCCAGACUCCUACGGGAGGCAGCAGUAGGGAAUCUUCGGCAAUGGACGGAAGUCUGACCGAGCAACGCCGCGUGAGUGAAGAAGGUGUUCGGAUCGUAAAGCUCUGUUGUAAGAGAAGAACGAGUGUGAGAGUGGAAAGUUCACACUGUGACGGUAUCUGACCAGAAAGGGACGGCUAACUACGUG
rnacentral:rRNA from 1 species